AAGCUGUGAUUUUGGUUGGUGUUUGAGCAGAGUUUUCUGCCUUUGCUCUGUUUUGCUUGGCUGUGAUAGCUUGUGCUGCUUGAAUGUUGUUUUGCUUGGAUGUUGUGGAAGCUUGAGAGGAUUGAUGGGGACCCGGUGUUGAGAGAAACGAGGAUAUGGGCUACGUGGGAGUACGUGAGCUCAGUUGGAGGUGGGCAACAGGGGAUGGUGGGUUUAUGCGCGCAUUGUGGAUGUGGAAAACUUGUUGUGCACCAUCGCCCGACCGCCACCUAGUACCACAUGUGAUGGGUACCCCAUAAUCCUACAAGCUUGAGAUGAGGAAGUGUUGAAGGGUGAAACUUCCUGCUUUUAUUGUUGACCACAGAGUGGUACCUGGAGAUAUGUCGCGGGGGUCAGGAGACCUUGGGGACGUCAGGUGGGGUGCUAUUGCCCAAAACCAAGCUUGACCAAUCCCGACCCAACCCGGGCAUAGUCGGUCAGUGAGAACCUGUGAUGUACCUAAACAGGCGAGCUCCUGACAGUCAACAGAUAAAAGGAACAAAGACCACAAAGCAAGGAGGCUUGUGGUGGCUGGCCAGCUGUGAACUUUGAUUGAUAUGUGGGUUAUGGCCUCUGGUAAUCGAUUAACAAGGGUGGGUAAUCGAUUACAAGGCUUAAAAAUGAAGACAGGAGGCUAAGAUGGUCUCUGGUAAUCGAUUACCACGGGGUGUAAUCGAUUACCAGGCUUGAAAACGAG
rnacentral:lncRNA from 1 species